GUGCAGCAGUCGCGAAACCUCCGCAAUGCUCGAAAGAGCGACGGGGGGACUCCAAGUGCCUACGCUCAGCGUAGGCUGUUCCCGAGCCUAAAAAGCUCGGGGAGUAAGGGCUGGGUAAGACGGGUGCCAGCCGCCGCGGUAAUACCCGCAGCCCGAGUGGUGGCCGCUAUUAUUGGGCCUAAAGCGUCCGUAGCCGGCUCGGUAAAUGCCUGGGUAAAUCGUCUGGCCCAACCAGACGAAUUCCGGGUAGACUGCCGGGCUAGGGACCGGAGGAGGGAGAGGGGUACUCCAGGGGUAGGGGUGAAAUCAGCAAGGUGAGUUGCUGAUGUAACUUGCCUUGCAAGUCACAAUCCUGUAAUCCCUGGAGGACCACCGGUGGCGAAGGCGCUCUCCUAGGACGGGUCCGACGGUGAGGGACGAAAGCCAGGGGAGCAAACCGGAUUAGAUACCCCCGUAGU
rnacentral:rRNA from 1 species